GACGAACGCUGGCGGCGUGCUUAACACAUGCAAGUCGAACGGAAAGGCCCUGCUUUUGUGGGGUGCUCGAGUGGCGAACGGGUGAGUAACACGUGAGUAACCUGCCCUUGACUUUGGGAUAACUUCAGGAGACUCGGGCUAAUACCGGAUAUGAGCUCCUGCUGCAUGGUGUGGGUUGGAAAGUUUCGGCGGUUGGGGAUGGACUCGCGGCUUAUCAGCUUGUUGGUGGGGUAGUGGCUUACCAAGGCUUUGACGGGUAGCCGGCCUGAGAGGGUGACCGGCCACAUUGGGACUGAGAGACGGCCCAGACUCCUACGGGAGGCAGCAGUGGGGAAUAUGGCACAAUGGGCGGAAGCCUGAUGCAGCAACGCCGCGUGCGGGAUGACGGCCUUCUGGUGAUAAACCGCUUUCGCCUGUAACGAGGCGUGAGUGACGGUAAUGGGUAAAGAAGCACCGGCUAACUACGUG
rnacentral:rRNA from 1 species